GACGAACGCUGGCGGCGUGCUUAACACAUGCAAGUCGAACGAAGAGCGAUGGAAGCUUGCUUCUAUCAAUCUUAGUGGCGAACGGGUGAGUAACGCGUAAUCAACCUGCCCUUCAGAGGGGGACAACAGUUGGAAACGACUGCUAAUACCGCAUACGAUCUAAUCUCGGCAUCGAGGAUAGAUGAAAGGUGGCCUCUACAUGUAAGCUAUCACUGAAGGAGGGGAUUGCGUCUGAUUAGCUAGUUGGAGGGGUAACGGCCCACCAAGGCGAUGAUCAGUAGCCGGUCUGAGAGGAUGAACGGCCACAUUGGGACUGAGACACGGCCCAGACUCCUACGGGAGGCAGCAGUGGGGAAUCUUCCGCAAUGGACGAAAGUCUGACGGGAGCAACGCCGCGUGAGUGAUGACGGCCCUUCGGGGUGUAAAAGCUCU
rnacentral:rRNA from 1 species